CAGGCCUACCAAUGGAGCUUUCCUUUAUCAGCGUACCUUUCAUUCACCAAACAGCAACUUUUACCCAUUUGUCAGAGAUUCUCACGUCUGCUGUUUCUUAAAAUUAAUCCACCCAAAUAACCCUUGUGCCAAAGAGGCACAUUUUGCCUGGUAUGUUCUGCCUCCUUCACACGGAUGCACCCAGUUUGCUUAUGGAUUCAUCACUGGAAGGACAUCCUGGCUUCGUUAAGUUUGUAACCACUAUGAAUAGAACUGCUGUGCAUAGCUGCAUGUUUUUGUUUGGAAAUAGCUUUUCAAAGCAGUGGUCUAAAUACUAGAAGUACAAUUGUUGGACCUUAACGUGAGACUUAUUUAGGUUUGGAGAAAAUGGCCAAACUGUCUUCUGAAGGGACGGUUGCUGCCAUUCCUCACCUUCCAGCAAUUGGUAUUCUUGUUUCUGGAGUUCAGCAUUUGGACUAGGUGUGCAGUGCUGUCUCACUGUCGUUUACACUUGUACUUUCCUAAUGAUGACAUCGAGCAUAUUUUUGUACGCUUAUUCUGUAUCUGCAUAUCUUCUUUGUCCAGGCAUUUUCAGAUCCUUACCCAUUAUCAGUUAGGAGGUUUGUUUCCUUAUUGUUCAGUUCUGAUAGCUUUUUUGUAUAUUUUGAAUACAGAUCUUUUACCAGAUAUAUGUUUUGCAAAUAUUUCCUCCCAGUUUGUGGCUUGGUUUUUAGUUUCUGAGCAAGGUCUUUCACAGAACUUCCUAAUUUUAGGAAGUUCAUGUCAUCAGUUUUUUUUCUUUUGUGGAUUGGCGUUUGGUGUUGUGUUAAAACUCAUCACCAAACCCAAGGUCAUGUAGAUAUUCUUUUAUGUUUUCUUUUUGACAGUUUUACAUUUUAAAUUUAUCUACAAUGUUGAAUGAAUUUUGGUGUAAGUUGUAAAGCUUGUGCCUGCAUUUCGCUUAAUUCUGUAGGGUUUCUAAUUAAUUGUUUCUAUUUCUGGAGAUGUCGGGGGUAAUUGGACUUCAUUUCAGUUUGAAUUUUCCAAAUGUAAUGGAUUCAGCUGGACCCCAGAAGGGACAGGUGCCUCCACUGAACUGAGCGCCCCGCACCCUGCACUGCCCCCACCGCCCACAGGGGGCGCCCGAGUCCCGCUCCGCGACUCCCGCGGGGCACGCGCUUUCCGGGGCGCUGACAGGCCUUCCAAGUCCUCAGGACCCUGUGUGCUGAUGCCCAGGCCCGGGGGGACGUGGGGCCUCAUCCACAGUCAGGAGCCCGGCCUUCCACGACCUGCUGAGGAGGAUGUGGGGCUGUGUCCACGUGGACAGGAGCCCGGCCUCCUCAGGACCCACAGUGGAGACUUCGGGAGGACGUGGAGCAGUGUCCACACCCACAGGACCCGGGUCUCCUCAGGACCCGCCACGGGAGGAGAAGGUGAGGAGAAACCGCCUGAGUGGGGACUGCCAAGGGCUCCAUGCUGUGUAGACGUCUGUCGUUGGUGUGUCAGGGGUGUCCGAGGACAGGGCUGUCCGUCUCCCUCGACGUCUGUCGUCGGUGUCUCAGGGGUGUCUGAGAGCAGGGCUGUCCCCUGUUGAGUAUUUCACUGAGGAGGAGGUGUUGGGAGGGUUGUUCUGGAGGAAAGUCCCCUGGAGAGAAGCGGGGUUGGGGUGAAGGAGGGUUCUCACCCGCUGAGCUGCAGGAGUAGUGAUUUCUGGGAGGAGGUGAAACCCGCAUCUUCCCCUUUGGGGCCUGUGGCUGAUGAGUCUCUGCUGUGGGGCUUCUAAUGUGGGGUCUGUGAUUGACAGUUGUUCCUGUAACUGACACUGGGUGGUCGGCUCCCCCGCCCAGCCCCCCUUCUGGCGACCCUAGUCCACUUGACUGAGCCUUCCCUUCAUGCAUUUUCGCAGUUCUAACCAGUUUUUGGUGGAGUGUGUGGAAAAUUGGAAUUCCAGAUCCCACUGCUUCUCCUGUUCCCGAGACACAAGAGCCGCCAAUGUCAUCCUCCCACGAGUCUCUUGCUAACGUGUGGCCUCCUACACUGGCAAGUGGCCUCUCCGUGGUGGGUGAACUGGGUCUGGGAGGACUUGGCCUCCAUCAGGAAGCUUGAUGUGGUCUCUGCUCCUGUGACCUGGUGCUGACGUGGUUGUUUGUAAGAGUACUUGACUCUGCGAUGAUUUCAAGGUGCAGUGAACCUGUCACAGCAGCACAAAUAUCCUGGAUCUCCACACGCAGACUCCCCAGCUGUCGUUUCUUUACCACACUUGCCACUUCACACGGGAUACUUCAGUGCGUUUUAUCCCAAACAGGGACACGCUCCCGCGGAGCCACCACAUAACCCUGAACGAGGAAAUCACUGCGGUUUCCAUAUUAUAAUCCAGACCACAGGUCCCCUUGAACUGUUGCCUCCUGCCCCACUGUCUGAAAUAUCCUGCUCCAUUCGGAUCCAGUUUUCUUCUUCUGCAACUGCUCCCGAGACUUUCCCAUAUUUGCACAGCCCUGAUGGAUUUAAGGAGCACAGAUGCCUCCAAUCUGGGUGGCCUCUCUGGAUGGCUUAUGUCGCUGGGGCUGUUUUCAGUGUCCGUCCACAUGGUGACAUGCAUCAGUCCUUCAUUUUUUCACUGUGACUAAACAUAGUAACAUUUACCACUUAAAACAUUUCAGGUUCACAGUUCUCUGGCCUUAGCUGACUUCACAGGGUUGUACAUCAUUCUCUAGAACUUCUUCUUUCUCCCCAAGGGAGAUCGUGUGCAUGAAACACUAACUCCCUAUUCCCCUUUCCUCUCGGCCCUGCAGCCACAUUCAACUCUCUGUCUCUAGAUACCUCAUACAGGUGGAAUCACACAGUGUCUGUCCUUCUGUGAAAGCCAGCAUCUUGUCCUUGUUCCUGAUUUCAGAGCAGAGCUGUCAAUCUUGAGACUUGAGCAUGGGGUUUGCUACAGGAUUAUUGAAAAAAAUUACCCCUUAUUCCUGUUUCGGGAGUGUUUAUAUCAGCAACAGACAUUAGAUUUUGGUUAGAACCUUUCCUGCAUCAAUUAAUAUAACCACAUGUUUUUAUUUAAAAAUUUAUUGCAGAGUA